UGGCGGCGUGCCUAAUACAUGCAAGUCGAACGGUCUUUCUAUGGAAGCUGCUUCCACUGAGAAGAUAGUGGCGAACGGGUGAGGUAACACGUGGGUAACCUGCCCAUAAGAGGGGGAUAACAUCCGGAAACGGGUGCUAAUACCGCAUAGUUUCUUGAUCGCAUGAUCGGGAAAGGAAAGACGGCCUUUGUGCUGUCGCUUAUGGAUGGACCCGCGGCGUAUUAGUUAGUUGGUGAGGUAACGGCUCACCAAGACGAUGAUACGUAGCCGACCUGAGAGGGUGAUCGGCCACAUUGGGACUGAGACACGGCCCAAACUCCUACGGGAGGCAGCAGUAGGGAAUCUUCCGCAAUGGACGAAAGUCUGACGGAGCAACGCCGCGUGAGUGAAGAAAAGGUUUUCGGAUCGUAAAACUCUGUUGUCAGAGAAGAACAAGUUGGAGAGUAACUGCUCCAGCCUUGACGGUAUCUGACCAGAAAGCCACGGCUAACUACGUGCCAGCAGCCGC
rnacentral:rRNA from 1 species